CGGCGCUGGGCCCCCUUAGCUGGAGUGCAGGCUCCGCCCACCCUUUGGGUCUAACCUCCGCGUUCCAAAGUUCCAGCUCCAGCCCUGCGCACUUGGGGACUUCUGCGUGAGGGUCUCUCGCCCCGGCCACAAAUCCCGAGCCGCACCUCUUAAUCGAGGCUCAGGCGUCCCGAGCGGAUCCCGCUUUCUUUUUUCCCUGUGCUGUUUGCAGUCCCACGGCCUCGCACAGAGAAAGUGCCUGACCCCAAGACCUGUGAUGAGACCGCCUAUUUUGUUUUUGUUAUAUACUAAUAGAUAUAGAUAUAUAGAUACAGUCAAUUAUCUGUAAAAUCGGCCAUGUCUCUGCCACCUGGGUAAAAAGGUGUCUCGAAAUUGGGGGCGGAGUCUCUUUUCUGACCCUACCCAAACGCACACAGAAACAACCCCAACAUUUGCAGAGCCCUUAAGCCUGUACACCCAAUGAGGAAUCGCUGGUUAGAGGCCGCGUGAAGGACACCCUGACCAAGCUGGGUCCUGCCCAUGCCGGUAGAUCGUCCAUGGCUUCCCUUGGGGGCUGCCACCCACUGUAAACCUGAGCAAGUUCCUCUCCUGUUCCGAAGCCUGCCCUGGCAAAGCCCCAGUACAUAUUCCAAUCCUGCUCUAGGUCAGUAUUCCCACUGCACCUGUCUACCCCUCGCCCGCCCCCCGGGUCACCACGCAGGACCCCUUGCACGCUCCCCCCACCACCUUUGCUAUGCAACUCCUCCCCUUUAUCUGCUAGGGAGACUCCUAUGCAUUCAUCAAGGUCCAGCUCAAAUCUGGCCACCCUCAGUGGCUUUUCCUGACGCUCUCAGCAGAACCAAACCUCCAGCUUUGUUAUGUGUUGGUGUUGCAGUACACAGACAGCCCUCAUCUCCUUGAGAACAAGAACAAAGCCUGACAUCCCAGCAGCUUGCACAGUGCUGGCGGGGCACGCUGUAAGUGCUCAGCUGAUGGUUGUUGAAUUGCUCUGAAUGGAUUGUGAGCAAGAGACCAGCAGGGGUGGAGGCUGACAGGAGAGACAGCGCCUGCCUCUGUACUCUAAAGUGCCGGGGAACUCGUGGUGAUUUGGAUCCAGUUCAGGCACCUGAAGCCCAGUUAAAGAGAAGGAAUCUUCAGUCUUUUCUCUCUCAGAUACAGCCGGGCACGGUGGC
rnacentral:lncRNA from 1 species